GUUUAGUCGAAGUAGGUCGUAGUAGGUCGGCAUGUUAUUUGUAGGUAGUCGAAGGUAGUCGGAGGUAAUAGCUCCGGGAUGAAAAUACGGUCAGU